GGAGAGGUGGGUGAGUGGCUGAAACCAACGGUUUGCUAAACCGUCGUGCUGGAUCAAACUGGCACCGCGGGUUCGAAUCCCGCCCUCUCCG
rnacentral:tRNA from 1 species